AUUGAACGCUGGCGGCAUGCUUUACACGUGCAAGUCGAACGGCAGCGCGGGCUUCGGCCUGGCGGCGAGUGGCGAACGGGUGAGUAAUGCAUCGGAACGUGCCCAGUAGUGGGGGAUAGCCCGGCGAAAGCCGGAUUAAUACCGCAUACGACCUGAGGGUGAAAGCGGGGGACCGAAAGGCCUCGCGCUAUUGGAGCGGCCGAUGUCGGAUUAGCUAGUUGGAGGGGUAAAGGCUUACCAAGGCGACGAUCCGUAGCUGGUCUGAGAGGACGACCAGCCACACUGGGACUGAGACACGGCCCAGACUCCUACGGGAGGCAGCAGUGGGGAAUUUUGGACAAUGGGGGCAACCCUGAUCCAGCCAUGCCGCGUGCGGGAAGAAGGCCUUCGGGUUGUAAACCGCUUUUGUUCGGGAAGAAAUCCUCUGGGCUAAUACCCCGGGGGGAUGACGGUACCGGAAGAAUAAGCACCGGCUAACUACGUG
rnacentral:rRNA from 1 species